AUUGAACGCUGGCGGCAGGCCUAACACAUGCAAGUCGAGCGGGGUUUUCGGACCUAGCGGCGGACGGGUGAGUAAUGCGUAGGAAGCUACCCGACAGAGGGGGAUACCAGUUGGAAACGACUGUUAAUACCGCAUAAUGUCUACGGACCAAAGUGUGGGACCUUCGGGCCACAUGCUGUCGGAUGCGCCUACGUGGGAUUAGCUAGUUGGUGAGGUAAUGGCUCACCAAGGCGACGAUCCCUAGCUGGUUUGAGAGGAUGAUCAGCCACACUGGAACUGAGACACGGUCCAGACUCCUACGGGAGGCAGCAUUGGGGAAUAUUGGACAAUGGGCGCAAGCCUGAUCCAGCCAUGCCGCGUGUGUGAAGAAGGCCUUCGGGUUGUAAAGCACUUUCAGCGAGGAGGAAGGGUUGUGUGUUAAUAGCUCAUAGCUUUGACGUUACUCGCAGAAGAAGCACCGGCUAACUCUGUGCCAGCCGCCGCAGUAACAC
rnacentral:rRNA from 1 species